GACAUCUUGACAUCAUCUACAAUUACUACAUUAAUGGAACUACAUGGAUACAGUCAACAUGUGCAACAUCCUACUACUGAAAAAGGUACACUGAUAGACCAUGUCUAUGUUAAAGAUGCAGAAAAUAUUUCAGAUGAAAUUGUGCAAACGUAUUACAGUUACCACCAAGCAGUCCUUAUUUCACUGAGGUAAUAAUUCAUGUGACGUACUGACAUCAGUAUAACAUCAUUAUCUUUUCUUUUCUGUGCCCUUACUAUGCAAUGUUCAUCCUGAGCUUCCAACUGGCAUACAACUGCAGAACAAGUGUACAACUGGAGACGGUAUGUUCUAAGACUACAUCUAUAUCUAAAUGAAUAAUUCUUAUGAUCCAUCAGUUAAAACAUCAGUUGAAUCUGUUCAGAUGUUCCAUGUUAUCAAUGAAGUAAUAUCUGAAGGUAAUCCAUUUUAUCUAUGCAACACACUGAAAUGAGAAUCGAAUCACUGUAUUGUCUGUUCUGUUUUUGUGUCCAUACCAUGUGAGCACUAUCCUGACAUUCCAAGAUGGUCAGAGUCCGGUCGAUCCAGCCUCGAAUUCAAACAAGUGAUGAUCAUUCACAAUCAUACAUCUCCCAUAAUUGCUCUUCUUUCUUGAGCUAGUAAGCUUCAUCCAGCCAAGGUAACUGUAGUAUUUAAUUUGUAUUCAUAUUGAUGCCAUGAAUGUAUUUUCAGAUUUCUGCAAUAUGCUACACUUCAAACUUCCUUAUCCAUAAUGAUUCUCCACUCCAUUAACUGUUUUUAUGAAGCAACACAAAACCAAUUAAAAAGGUUUGUGCAUCAAAACUCAAUAUCUACUGUCCACUACUCCCAAAAGAUUUCUGCAAUAUGCUACACUUCAAACUUCCUUCUCCAUUAUGAUUCUCCACUCCAUGAACUGUUUUUAUGA
ensembl:lncRNA